GACCGCAUAGCUCAGUUGGCAGAGCAUUGGGCUAGUAUUCCAAAGGUCGUAGGUUCGAUUUCCACCGUGGUCA
rnacentral:tRNA from 1 species